rnacentral:lncRNA from 1 species
UUGUAUCUUAAUUUUAUAAUUAUUAUUCAUUUCCUAGUAAAAAGUGGGUCAGAGAGAGAAAGAGAAGAAGGAGCUACUUGAUUGGCUAGCAGGGAGAAUAAGAGCCUGGGGUUUCCAAACCAGCCAUAAUUUCCAACUGCCUCCUCCAUGAGCAGGGCCUCUCUGAUUGGAGAACUCAGACUUUAAUCAGGACAAGAGGUGGACAUCCUAAACCCACACACCCUAAAACAUGGCUGUCUGGAAUUUCAUUACCUCAUGUCUCAAGAAAGGCAGCAUCUCCAUGUGACAAAGAAUCUGUGUUCUGCUAAGAACUGAGUCUGAUGAGAAAGCCUUUCAAGCAUAAAUCUAACCAUUUCUGAUGCGGUUUGUUCAAAUUCUCUGUGCCAUCACCUCAAAGGGUGCUUGAGAACUAAAGUAAACAAAAUAAAUAUUGAAGCAAGAGCCA